rnacentral:tRNA from 1 species
GGGGUUAUAGCUCAGUGGUAGAGUACUUGCCUUGUAUGCAUGGGGCACUGGGUUUGAUCCUUAGCACCA